AAAAUGCUAAGAAGUCAAACGUCCAUUGUACAUACUAAUAUCUAGCAAAGCGCAAAUUACCAACCUAAAAUAUAUAUGCACACACCAGUUAUAGGAAAUUACUUUCUUAAAUAAGCACAUAUACACUUAGCAAUCUCUAAUGCCUUUAUAUGAAUGUAUUGAAUUUAAUUUUCCAAGUCCCAUAGGCAGAUCUCCUAACCCUAUCUCCACUAAUGUAGCAUGCAGUAUCAAAAGA
rnacentral:misc_RNA from 1 species